UCAACCUCAAGACGGAGGAAUUUGUGCUG
rnacentral:piRNA from 1 species